rnacentral:rRNA from 1 species
GAUGAACGCUGACAGAAUGCUUAACACAUGCAAGUCAACUUGAACUUCGGUUUGGGUGGCGGACGGGUGAGUAACGCGUAAAGAACUUGCCUCACAGAUAGGGACAACAUUUGGAAACGAAUGCUAAUACCUGAUAUUAUGAUUUUAGGGCAUCCUAGGAUUAUGAAAGCUAUAAGCGCUGUGAGAGAGCUUUGCGUCCCAUUAGCUAGUUGGAGAGGUAACGGCUCACCAAGGCGAUGAUGGGUAGCCGGCCUGAGAGGGUGAUCGGCCACAAGGGGACUGAGACACGGCCCUUACUCCUACGGGAGGCAGCAGUGGGGAAUAUUGGACAAUGGACCAAGAGUCUGAUCCAGCAAUUCUGAGUGCACGAUGAAGUUUUUCGGAAUGUAAAGUGCUUUCAGUUGGGAAGAAAAAAAUGACGGUACCAACAGAAGAAGUGACGGCUAAAUACGUGCCAGCAGCCGCGGUAAUACGUAUGUCACAAGCGUUAUCCGGAUUUAUUGGGCGUAAAGCGCGUCUAGGUGGUUAUAUAAGUCUGAUGUGAAAAUGCAGGGCUCAACUCUGUAUUGCGUUGGAAACUGUGUAACUAGAGUACUGGAGAGGUAAGCGGAACUACAAGUGUAGAGGUGAAAUUCGUAGAUAUUUGUAGGAAUGCCGAUGGGGAAGCCAGCUUACUGGACAGAUACUGACGCUGAAGCGCGAAAGCGUGGGUAGCAAACAGG